GACGAAGGGGGCUAGCGUUGUUCGGAAUUACUGGGCGUAAAGCGCGUGUAGGCGGUUGCCCAAGUCGGGGGUGAAAGCCUUGAGCUCAACUCAAGAAAUGCACUCGGUACUGGGUGACUAGAGGACCGGAGAGGAUAGUGGAAUUCCCAGUGUAGUGGUGAAAUACGUAGAGAUUGGGAAGAACACCAGUGGCGAAGGCGGCUAUCUGGCCCGGUACUGACGCUCAUGUGCGAAAGCGUGGGGAGCAAACAGG
rnacentral:rRNA from 1 species